rnacentral:rRNA from 1 species
UCGGGAAUUUUGGGCAAUGGGCGAAAGCCUGACCCAGCAACGCCGCGUGAGGGAUGAAGUAUUUCGGUAUGUAAACCUCGAAAGAAUGGGAAGAAUAAAUGACGGUACCAUUUAUAAGCUCCGGCUAACUACGUGCCAGCAGCCGCGGUAAUACGUAGGGAGCAAGCGUUGUUCGGAUUUACUGGGCGUAAAGGGCGCGUAGGCGGCGCGGUAAGUCACUUGUGAAAUCUCUGAGCUUAACUCAGAACGGCCAAGUGAUACUGCUGUGCUAGAGUGCGGAAGAGGCAACCGGAAUUCUUGGUGUAGCGGUGAAAUGCGUAGGUAUCAAGAGGAACACCUGAGGCGAAGGCGGGUUGCUGGGCCGACACUGACGCUGAUGCGCGAAAGCCAGGGGAGCAAACG